rnacentral:rRNA from 1 species
UACGAAGGACCCAAGCGUUAUCCGGAUUUAUUGGGUUUAAAGGGUGCGUAGGCGGGUUGUUAAGUCAGGGGUGAAAUCCUGGAGCUCAACUCCAGAACUGCCUUUGAUACUGGCGAUCUCGAGUCCGGGAGAGGUGAGUGGAACUGCGAGUGUAGAGGUGAAAUUCGUAGAUAUUGGGAAGAACACCAGUGGCGAAGGCGGCUAACUGGUCCAGUACUGACGCUGAGGUGCGAAAGCGUGGGGAGCAAACAGG